rnacentral:rRNA from 1 species
GUGUCAGCCGCCGCGGUAAUACGUAGGUGGCAAGCGUUGUCCGGAAUUAUUGGGCGUAAAGGAUGCGUAGGCGGUCUUUUAAGUGGGAUGUGAAAUACCCGGGCUUAACUCGGGAGUGGCAUUCCAAACUGGAAGACUAGAGUGCAGGAGAGGAAAGUGGAAUUCCCAGUGUAGCGGUGAAAUGCGUAGAGAUUGGGAGGAACACCAGUGGCGAAGGCGACUUUCUGGACUGUAACUGACGCUGAGGCAUGAAAGCGUGGGGAGCAAACAGGAUUAGAUACCCUGGUAGUCCACGCCGUAAACGAUGAGUACUAGGUGUAGGGGAGCCAUUCUCUGUGCCGCAGUUAACACAUUAAGUACUCCGCCUGGGAAGUACGGUCGCAAGACUAAA